rnacentral:rRNA from 1 species
UACGUAGGGUGCGAGCGUUUAAUCGGAAUUACUGGGCGUAAAGCGUGCGCAGGCGGUUCGUUAAGUUCGUCGUGAAAGCCCCGGGCUCAACCUGGGAACUGCGAUGGAAACUGGCGGGCUUGAGUGUGGCAGAGGGGGGGUGGAAUUCCGCGUGUAGCAGUGAAAUGCGUAGAGAUGCGGAGGAACACCGAUGGCGAAGGCAGCCCCCCUGGGCCAACACUGACGCUCAGGCACGAAAAGCGUGGGGGAGCAAACAGG